AAAUGUGGAACAUAUAACUUGAGUUCUACACCAAGGUAAAACAAUUUCAUUUUAUAUAUUAUAUAGAAUAAUUUAUACUUUUUUAUUACCUUUCUUAUUUUUUAUAUGGAUUAUUUGUUAAGGUCCAAAUUGGACAUUAAAGUCAUUCAUGAGAAUGGAAGUGGAAGGGUUGUGUUUUGGGAUCGUCAAUGUGCUGAUAUUAUUGGAGCAUCUGCAUUCGAUCUUAGAAAUCGGAUGGUCGCAGUACGGAUUUUUCCAGUUAUACAUUAUAUAGAUUGAAAUCACAUUGGUACAUCAUUUUUUAUAUUACAACAAUUUAUAUUUUUCCAUGUUUAUAUAUGAAGGAAGGUGAGGAUGAUCCAAAGACAUUCCCUCUAAUGCUUGACAUGUUGCUUGCAAGGACAAUG
rnacentral:lncRNA from 1 species